rnacentral:rRNA from 1 species
CAAUAGCGUAUAUUAAAGUUGUUGCGGUUAAAAAGUUCGUAGUUGGAUUUCUGUCGGAGACCUGCGGUCUGCGCUACGUGCAUGUAUCUGUAGGGCUCUGGCAUCCUUCCGAAAGACGUCGCUAUGCUUCAUUGCACGGUGCGGAGUUCGGAACUUUUACUUUGAGGAAAUUAGAGUGUUCACGGCAGGCCAACGCCAUGAAUAUAUUAGCAUGGAAUAAUAAUAUAGGAUUUCGGUUCUAUUUUGUUGGUUUCUAGGGCUGAAAUAAUGAUUAAUAGGGACAGUUGGGGGCAUUCGUAUUAAGGCGUCAGAGGUGGAAUUCUUGGAUUGCCUUACGACGAACUACUGCGAAAGCAUUUGCCAAGGAUGUUUUCAUUGA